rnacentral:rRNA from 1 species
UCUCUCGUCUCUCUCACCAGUUCUCGUCCGAUCACCGAAGUUAAGUAAUUUUGGGCACGGUUAGUACUUGGAUGGGUGACCGCUUGGGAACACCGUGUGAC